AGAGCAUGUAUACACAACAUAUCUAAGAAAAUAAAAAAAAUACUUGAAUAGUUAUGAUUUCAGAAGAACCCUAGAGUGAGAAAGGCUUAGAAAAGGUCCGAUCUAAGUCGGAUAAGGUCAGAAACAGGCUCAGAAGACCAAGAGCCAUCGGAGCAAGGUCAGAGAUAGCUAGAAUCCUCGAAUCGAUGAAGGUCUAAGUGAAGACCUUCGAAGUUUAUCCUCGAUCCUUCAAUCAUCAGUCAUAUAGGAGAUGUAGGAGGUAAGCAUAGGUUGUCCAUGGCCUGAGGAGCCAUGGAUUCUGGUGAGUUUACGGGUGGAGAUGGUAGAAGGCGGCUAGGGUUUGAGAGGAAGUUGAGAGAGAACUAGUAGAGAAGGGAAUCAGAG
rnacentral:lncRNA from 1 species